CUUAUAAAAAGUAAUUUCUGCCCAGUGAGAAUUUAAACGGCCGCGGUACCCUGACCGUGCAAAGGUAGCAUAAUAGCUUGCCUUCUAAUUAAAGGCUUGUAUGAAUGAACCAACGUGAGCUUAGCUGUCUCUUCUACGCACCGAUAACUUAACCUUAAUGUGAAAAGGCAUUAAUAAAAUUAAAAGACAAGAAGACCCUGUCGAGCUUAAUUGUAACUUUCUCCAGAGAGAAAUAAUUUUAAUCUCUCACCACAACCAUCAAUUUAGUUGGGGCAACACAGGAACAAACAAACCUUCCUACAAACAACUUAAUUUAUUUUAACUUUCCAACACCGUUGAACUUAAAAUAAAAGCUACCGCAGGGAUAACAGGUUAAUUUUUCUCGAAAGUACACAUUAACAGAAAAGUUUUACACCUCGAUGUUGGCUUAGGCUAUCCUAUUAGUGCAGAAGCUAAUAAAGGCAGGUUUGUUCA
rnacentral:rRNA from 1 species